GGAGGAACUCCUCAACAGAGCCAUAUCACAGCACAUCACUGAAUGACCUCCAGAGGAGCAGUUCACAGCUCCUUUCCCUGAGGUGAAUGCACUGCCAGCUGGGAGGGACAGUGGAGAGGCUCCCUCAAGGGUUUCAGAGGCAUCACUGGCUGAACUCCAACAACGAGUGAGCGCCGAUCACUGCACGCAUUCCACGGAAGCUUCACGAAACACCGGAUUCACGAACACAGACACCCCGGCACGCUCACCCCGCCAUUGCACCGAAGACACCACGC